GAGGGUAUAGCUCAGUGAUAGAGUGUGUGCUUAGCAUGCACGAGGUCCUGGGUUCAAUCCCCAGUACCUCCA
rnacentral:tRNA from 1 species